rnacentral:rRNA from 1 species
AGUCCGCACGAGCGCACCCUUGUCCUUAGUUGCCAGCAUUCAGUUGGGCACUCUAAGGAGACUGCCGGUGACAAACCGGAGGAGGGUGGGGACGACGUCAAGUCAUCAUGGCCCUUACGUGUAGGGCUACACACGUGCUACAAUGGCAUUUACAGAGGGAAGCGAGACAGUGAUGUGGAGCGGACCCCUUAAAGAAUGUCGUAGUCCGGAUUGGAGUCUGCAACUCGACUCCAUGAAGUCGGAAUCGCUAGUAAUCGCAGGUCAGAAUACUGCGGUGAAUACGUUCCCGGGCCUUGUACACACCGCCCGUCACACCAUGGGAGUGGGAUGCAAAAGAAGUAGUUAGUCUAACCUUCGGGAGGACGAUUACCACUUUGUGUUUCAUGACUGGGGUGAAGUCGUAACAAGGUAACCCUAGGGGAACCUGGGGUUGGAUCACCUCCUU